rnacentral:lncRNA from 1 species
UUGUAUUAAAGUGGAAUUUAUACGUAUGGCUAAUUAUUUGGGAUCAAUCAACAUCUGCUAGUAGUAGUCAUCUCUAUUGCAAAGGAAGAAGAUUCAAAAGGAGGCAAUUGUACGAGACUGUAUCACAAUAAUAGCAAAACAGGAACAUGUGCUCCUAACCAACGCACCAUCAAGGGCGGAGCUUUGUAUUUCCGAAAACAUGACUUUAGAACACGAUCGGAAUCAGAACCUCAACUGAAGACCGGCAGCAACAAAUUGAGAACAAAUUUCAGCUCAAUACUUCAGAAAUCAAGCUAAGCACGCUAGUCGAAUUCAUUCAAAUCAAUUAACUUAAACGAUCUAGUACAAGUUCAGCUAUAACUCAAUCUUUCCAAAAUUUUCAGCACAUAUGGACCUUAAGCACAUCACAGCAACUCUAUUGAACACAACCAAGCAUGCUUCGCAAAUUCGAUACAUCUGUAAUUCCCCACCAGAAUUUGAUGACAGUGAUAUAAGUUAAACAGGUUUAAAUCUUCUAACAUACAAAUUACUCAGAAAAAGAUUCAAUCAUAUAAAGAUAACAAGUGUAUCAAAAUUUCAUGGAGAGGAACAAAAGACACGUUUCGUAUUAUGUCCAAGUAAAACUUGAAUUCAUAGUUGAAUACCUGGUUGGGCAAGAAAUGAUUGAAAGAGCCAAAGAAAAACACAACAAAGAGGGCUGAAGUUCGGCAAACACGAGCAGAAAUUAGAUCAGAACCUCGAGCAACAGCUGGGAACUCGACUCGGCACCACGAAUCUCGAAUUGGACAUGAACUCAAACCCAAAUAUCAAUCAAAUCCCAUUUUUUGCGACAAAUAAACCCAGGCAAACAUUCUCUCCAUCCGUCCCGAUUUUCUGUAAGUUCUCUCUACUGUGUGUGUGUGUGUGUGUGUGUUCAGCGACUGAAAUCCACGAAAAAGAUGAAGUUUCGCUAGAGGGGGGCGUUUUUGGCUGACGAAGGUGAUGAAGAAAAAGAAGACAGCUCAGGGGUAUUGUUUGGGGUGCCAGCGUUCAGGGGUUUUAGCUCCAGAGGAAGCCAUGGAAUUUUUUGUUGUUUCUUCUAUGAAGACCGUCGAUCAGGGGGUGGGUCUCCUGUGUAUUUUGUUGAGAAGAUGAAGUUACAGGGGAAUAGGGUCUUUUGUGCGUAGCUGCUCCUCAGCUUUUUUUUCAGCCUUUUCUUCGUUAUCC